AACAAGGGGUGCGAACGCAUUUGCUUCGCUGAGAACAUACCCUUAGAACCUGCCACGGAUAAUGCCGGCGAAGGAAUAGUUA
rnacentral:ncRNA from 1 species